UAGCCUACUGGUUAAGGCUAUGGAUCGCCAAUCCGGAGAUGGCGGGUUCGAUUCCCGU
rfam:Aedes albopictus isolate Foshan contig22657, whole genome shotgun sequence.